CUCUGUGACUCCUACGGGAGGCAGCAGUGGGGAAUAUGCACAAUGGGGGAAACCCUGAUGCAGCCAUGCCGCGUGUGUGAAGAAGGCCUUCGGGUUGUAAAGCACUUUCAGUAGGGAGGAAGGUAGUGUAGUUAACACCUGCAUUAUUUGACGUUACCUACAGAAGAAGCACCGGCUAAACUCCGUGCCAGCAGCCGCGGUAAUACGGAGGGUGCGAGCGUUAAUCGGAAUUACUGGGCGUAAAGCGCAUGCAGGCGGCCUGUUAAGUCAGAUGUGAAAGCCCCGGGGCUUAACCUCGGAAUUGCAUUUGAAACUGGCAGGCUAGAGUCUUGUAGAGGGGGUAGAAUUUCAGGUGUAGCGGUGAAAUGCGUAGAGAUCUGAAGGAAUACCAGUGGCGAAGGCGGCCCCCCUGGACAAAGACUGACGCUCAGAUGCGAAAGCGUGGGGAGCAAACAGGAUUAGAUACCCUGGUAG
rnacentral:rRNA from 1 species